UGGGGAAUUUUGGACAAUGGGGGAAACCCUGAUCCAGCCAUCCCGCGUGUGCGAUGAAGGCUUUCGGGUUGUAAAGCACUUUUGGCAGGAAAGAAACGUCGCGGGUUAAUACCCCGCGAAACUGACGGUACCUGCAGAAUAAGCACCGGCUAACUACGUGCCAGCAGCCGCGGUAAUACGUAGGGUGCAAGCGUUAAUCGGAAUUACUGGGCGUAAAGCGUGCGCAGGCGGUUCGGAAAGAAAGAUGUGAAAUCCCAGAGCUUAACUUUGGAACUGCAUUUUUAACUACCGGGCUAGAGUGUGUCAGAGGGAGGUGGAAUUCCGCGUGUAGCAGUGAAAUGCGUAGAUAUGCGGAGGAACACCGAUGGCGAAGGCAGCCUCCUGGGAUAACACUGACGCUCAUGCACGAAAGCGUGGGGAGCAAACAGGAUUAGAUACCCUGGUAGUCCACGCCCUAAACGAUGUCAACUAGCUGUUGGGGCCUUCGGGCCUUGGUAGCGCAGCUAACGCGUGAAGUUGACCGCCUGGGGAGUACGGUCGCAAGAUUAAAACUCAAA
rnacentral:rRNA from 1 species